rnacentral:rRNA from 1 species
GCACAAGCGGUGGAGCAUGUGGUUAAUUCGACGCAACGCGAAGAACCUUACCAGGGCUUGAUAUCCCCUGACCGCGUAUGAAAGUACGUUUUCACCCUCGGGUGACAGGGAGACAGGUGGUGCAUGGUUGUCGUCAGCUCGUGUCGUGAGAUGUUGGGUUAAGUCCCGCAACGAGCGCAACCCCUACGUUUAGUUGCUAACGCGUGAAGGCGAGCACUCUAGACGAACUGCCGUUGACAAAACGGAGGAAGGUGGGGAUGACGUCAAAUCAUCAUGCCCCUUAUGUUCUGGGCUACACACGUGCUACAAUGGCCGGUACAGACGGACGCAAAGCCGCGAGGUGGAGCAAAUCCUAAAAAGCCGGUCUCAGUUCGGAUUGCAGGCUGCAAUUCGCCUGCAUGAAGUCGGAAUCGCUAGUAAUCGCAGGUCAGCAUACUGCGGUGAAUACGUUCCCGGGCCUU